UCAGGAGCGAUUCCUGUCAGGAGCGAUUCAGUGCGCUGUGGGUGUGGUGCUGGCCUUGGGCGUGAGGGUCAAAGAAUCGCAGGAUGGGUCAGGAUGGAAGGGGCAUCUGGUCAGUGGAGUCAUCCGGUCCCACCUCCCUGCUCCAACAGGGUCAUCCCAGAGCACGUGGCACAGGAUCGCACCCAGACGGUUCUGGAAUAUCUCCAGUGACAGUUCUGGGAGACUCCACACCCUCUCUGGACAAUCUGUCCCAGUGCUUGGUCACUGCACAGCAUUGUCUUUGUGCUCGCUUCAUUGACUGCGCUGUAAUAACCAGUUUCUCAUUUCUUUAUGCACACAAAAAACACGUGCAGGUACGUGAGCCUACGGGAUGUUGAAGGUGACGCUCUCUGGAGCUCUCAGGUGACCUCAUUGAUAAAGCUGCCUAAUCAAAUUAAGUGCCCUGUGACUUCAGUGAGUUGCCGGUGGGCUGGGGAAGGACUCAUAAUGGAGCAGGAUCACAGCAGGAAGAACUCCUGCUGUGCCUUAUUCAAUUACUCACAGUCCGGGUGAAGGUCGCUACCCCCUGGGCAGAGGUGCCUGCUGGAAGCUGUCUCAUCACCUUUCUGCUGAUGCUGGGAGCUCACAUGCCACUUAAGUAUCCCUUGAUACCUUGGUGUGAUAAAACACUAACUACAUCCUGCUCCUCCUUCCCACCUCUGUGUACUCCUCACUUUUUGCCUGUGCCUCCCAAUAACCAAGUUGUUCAGUGAUAUACUUUUUAAGACAAAUAUUAGCAGUGCUGUCUUGCUGACCUCACAGCUGGAACCAGUCCCUCUCAGGCUGGUGCUUUUCAGAGACGCUCACUUAAAAAUUAAUUUUUCAAGAUAGCGUAAAUCAUCCGCUGUCCUCGUAUGACAAAUGCUGCAACACUCCACGGCUAAAUUGCCCUUUUUUACUUAUCAGCUGCUGCAUCCAUCAUUUCCAAUAAAAAUAAAGCCAGCAGUUAUCUCUGGCAAGAGCAUGUUGUGUCACCAGUCGUGCUGAGAAAAGGAAGUGGUGUCUGCUCAGGUCAGCAGGAAUGGCUUGUUGCAGGGUAGAAGAACUUAAAUGCUCAGAAAGCUGCUUGAGAAACUGACUCAUGAGUUUUAAAUAUCUCACCUUUUAUUGUGGACUUCUGAGGAUGUCAGUGGGGAUGCCUAGAUCUAAAAUGGCUCCAGAUACAAAUGAAAACUGGAUGAAAACCCAGCAGUAAGAGGCCUCCUGCCUUCAUUCCUCAAGGCAUGGAGAGAGAAGUGUUGGUGGCUGAGGUGGUGGAUCUAGGAGUGGGGCAGCGUCCUCUUCUGCUCCAGCAUCCAUCUGUGUAAAGAGACACUGAAAGGUGGAACUCUCUGAUCCUCUCCUGCUUGUCUCUUGGCACGUGCAGUCCACUUUGCUCACUCACUAAAAGCCUCAGGGGCUUUUUCUAUCUGCAGCAUCUGGUGUUCUUAAAUUGAUGAGGAAGGUGACUGGUUCCUGGGGAGGUCAUCUUGGGAAAGGUGAGUUUUAGUAUGAAAUCCUGACAUUUCUUAGUCCUCUUUUGAACACUGGCUGGAGCUCUGCACAUAUCUAGAAGGGAAACAUUCCUGCUCAUGUCUCAAAAAGGCUUCUGUGCCUGUCCAGUCCAUGUAAUUAAGCAGAAUUGGGAAUGACUGUGUCACCAUGGAACUUUACAUUGCUCAAAAAGGCUUUGGAGUACAGGCUCUGGAUCCAGCAAGGAAGGCAAAGGCAAAGAGUAACUGCAUUGCUGUCUUACAGCCAGGAGAAAAAGAAAAAACCAAAAAAAAAAGGUCUGAUGAGGAUAGGAGUUAGAAGUUGUGAAACAGAAGGAUUGGAAGCUAUUUGGGGAACAGGGAGAAUGAUCAGCAUCGUGAAUGGGGAAGGCACAGCACAGGCAGGGCCUCAGGCAAAAGGUAAUUUCUAUUCCCAGGGCUAAACCAGAAUUAAUGAAGAGCAAAGCCUCAGUAAAGCACUCAGACCUGCAGGGUCGGGGCUGAGCUCGAUGCACUCGUUUAUGCCUCCAAAUUACUGUUUGCUUUCUGUCCUUGCCUUGGCCUCAGUGCAAAGUAACACACAGUUCUGGGGGGGCUGGAGUUGCUUUCGAAGGUUUAUGCUUGCUGAUGGGCAGGAGCACACACCUUCUGCCUGUAGCUGCCUUAAUGUC